AGUCUCCUACUCUGGUUCACUCUUCCUCUCGAAAGCACUUGGUGUCACCACUGCCUUUAUCCUGAGUGAGAAGAGUUUCAUGUGGAGUUCAGAGCUAACCUCCCCUGUGAAAAAGGUGUGAAGCAUUUGUUGGAGCCCCAAGGGCACCUAGGGCCUUAUGGGCUUCCCUAGGAGCCCAUUUCAGCCCACAGCAGUGCCAAUCUCCAGCCAUGGGCCCCCCAGCAGGCCAGGCCACACCACCCUUCUUUUGGGGGAUGAAGGUACCCUUUCGAAGCAAGUGAUAAUAGAAAUUGCUGUCCUGGAAAAGCUUUACUAAUCUACUGGUAUGAGGACACUGUAA